rnacentral:rRNA from 1 species
ACUCGAGUGGCGAACGGGUGAGUAACACGUGGGUGAUCUGCCCUGCACUUCGGGAUAAGCUUGGGAAACUGGGUCUAAUACCGGAUAGGAGCCAUCUUUAGUGUGGUGGUUGGAAAGUUUUUCGGUGUAGGAUGAGCUCGCGGCCUAUCAGCUUGUUGGUGGGGUAAUGGCCUACCAAGGCGGCGACGGGUAGCCGGCCUGAGAGGGUGUACGGCCACAUUGGGACCGAGAUACGGCCCAG